GAUGAACGCUAGCGGCAGGCCUAAUACAUGCAAGUCGAACGGGAUCCAGAUCAAAGCUUGCUUUGGUCUGGUGAGAGUGGCGCACGGGUGCGUAACGCGUGAGCAACCUACCCUUGUCAGGGGGAUAGCCCGGCGAAAGUCGGAUUAAUACCGCAUGACAUCAUUGAGAGGCAUCUUUCGAUGAUCAAAGAUUUAUCGGACAAGGAUGGGCUCGCGUGACAUUAGCUAGUUGGUAAGGUAACGGCUUACCAAGGCUGCGAUGUCUAGGGGCUCUGAGAGGAGAAUCCCCCACACUGGUACUGAGACACGGACCAGACUCCUACGGGAGGCAGCAGUAAGGAAGAGUGGUCAAUGGACGGAAGUCUGAACCAGCCAUGCCGCGUGCAGGAGGACGGCCCUAUGGGUUGUAAACUGCUUUUAUACGGGAACAAACGUCGGUACGUGUACCGGUCUGAGUGUACCGUAAGAAUAAGGAUCGGCUAACUCCGUG
rnacentral:rRNA from 1 species